GAUCCUGGCUCAGAAUCAACGCUGGCGGCAUGCCUAACACAUGCAAGUCGAGCGAGAAAGUGUAGCAAUACAUGAGUACAGCGGCGCACGGGUGAGUAACACGUGGAUAACCUGCCUCAAAGUGGGGAAUAACACCGGGAAACCGGUGCUAAUACCGCAUAUUCUGACGAGAUCUGUGGAUUUCGGCAGGAAAGGAGCAAUUCGCUAUGAGAGGGGUCCGCGGCUGAUUAGCUAGUUGGUGAGGUAAUGGCUCACCAAGGCUUUGAUCAGUAGCCGGUCUGAGAGGACGGUCGGCCACACUGGAACUGAGACACGGUCCAGACUCC
rnacentral:rRNA from 1 species